rnacentral:misc_RNA from 1 species
AGUCGUAACAAGGUUUCCGUAGGUGAACCUGCGGAAGGAUCAUUAGAGGUUUUUUUUAUAUAAAAUCACUUUACACACAUAAAUUACUCUUUGGACUAGGUCUUUUUCGGUUUUCCUACCCAGAGAGUGUCCUAAAGAAGCCGUACAACACAUAAAUUACUCUUUGGACUAGGUCUUUCUAGGCUUUCCUACCCAGAGAGUGUCCUAAAGAAGCCUUUACCCUUUCCCAAUUUCAGUUUCCGAUUUUAUUUUUACCUCGUACAACUCUUAACGGUGGAUGACUCGGCUUCC